UAUUAUUAAAAAAUAGUAAAAAUUAAUUUUUAUAAAACACAUUUCUUCUUAUUUCUUUCCUUCAGAUAAAAUCGGAUAAUUCCUGUGACGCUAAAAAAGUAAUUGAUUUCUUCUCGAAAAGUAACUAGUCCGGUAUUUCAAAGAACAAGUGCAAGCUUCAGAGAAGAAAUUAACAGCUUUGAAAGAUGUCUUUCUAAAAAAAAGUGGAAGCGCUGAAGAAGCCAGAGAUUUGAUUUUAAAUUGUCUGCAAAAAGAGAUCUGGUUACACCCAGUGGAUUAUAAACCGGAAGAAAUUGAUGAGAAAGAAAAA